AUUGAACGCUGGCGGCAUGCCUUACACAUGCAAGUCGAACGGUAACAGGUCUUCGGAUGCUGACGAGUGGCGAACGGGUGAGUAAUACAUCGGAACGUGCCUAGUAGUGGGGGAUAACUACUCGAAAGAGUGGCUAAUACCGCAUGAGAUCUACGGAUGAAAGCAGGGGAUCGCAAGACCUUGCGCUACUAGAGCGGCCGAUGGCAGAUUAGGGAGUUGGUGGGAUAAAAGCUUACCAAGCCGACGAUCUGUAGCUGGUCUGAGAGGACGAUCAGCCACACGGGGACUGAGACACGGCCCAGACUCCUACGGGAGGCAGCAGUGGGGAAUUUUGGACAAUGGGCGAAAGCCUGAUCCAGCAAUGCCGCGUGCAGGAUGAAGGCCUUCGGGUUGUAAACUGCUUUUGUACGGAACGAAAAGCCCCGGGUUAAUACCCUGGGGUCAUGACGGUACCGUAAGAAUAAGCACCGGCUAACUACGUGCCAGCAGCCGCGGUAA
rnacentral:rRNA from 1 species